GACGAACGCUGGCGGCGUGCUUAACACAUGCAAGUCGAACGGAACUCGUUGGAUCAAGACUUCGGUCAAGUGAAAUCGAGUUUAGUGGCGGACGGGUGAGUAACGCGUGAGGAACCUGCCUUUCAGAGGGGGACAACAGUUGGAAACGACUGCUAAUACCGCAUAACGCAUAUUGAUCGCAUGGUCGAUAUGCCAAAGAUUUAUCGCUGAAAGAUGGCCUCGCGUCUGAUUAGCUAGUUGGUGAGGUAACGGCCCACCAAGGCGACGAUCAGUAGCCGGACUGAGAGGUUGACCGGCCACAUUGGGACUGAGAUACGGCCCAGACUCCUACGGGAGGCAGCAGUGGGGAAUAUUGGGCAAUGGGCGCAAGCCUGACCCAGCAACGCCGCGUGAAGGAAGAAGGCUUUCGGGUUGUAAACUUCUUUUGUCGCAAGGGAAGAAAAAAAUGACGGUACCUUGUGAGAAAGCCACGGCUAACUACGUGCCAGCAGCCGCGGUAAAAC
rnacentral:rRNA from 1 species